AUCAUACUAUCUUUUGGUGAAAUCCGUACAUAAAUCGUAUACCGUCCGAUAGUUUUUGAGUUUAUCGCGUUCAUGCAGACAGGGGGACUUUUUCAUAUUUAUGUAAGGAUUUACAAUACAAUAAUAUAUACAUGAGUAUAAAAUGUAUUAACACACAAAGUAUGACAUCAUGAUUUAGGCAAAAGGUGGCCUUAUCGCUGUAAGCAAUUUUUCCCAGACAACCUUUUGUUUUUCUGAUUUAGAUAUUUUUGAAUGGACGUCCGAAGAAGACUUUUUGUCGCGCUGAUAACGAAGUUACUGGGAUAAUAUCGUAAAUAAUAUGUUACAACACUGAUUAAAGAGAGGAGUCUAAACCUGACUUAUCGACCACCGCCAUCUAGCGCCAGACGUAAUUGUCACUAGUAAGGCGCGUUCGCAUUGCUCAGUCGCGCUCCGUUGCGACGAGACACCACGUUGUGCUCCGUUGUUUUCUAUAGGGUUUGAGAAUGACGUAAGUUGACGUACGUCGAAACUUCACACAAAUUCUACAAUGUUCUGUGUUGAUCCGUCGACGGAUAUCAUACCGAAGGAUAUCGCAGCGCAACUGAGCAAUGGGAACGCGCUCUAAGCAGAGUGUAUGCAUAUAAUAGAUAUCUAACAUAAUCACAAACUGAAUAAGAGUCAAUUCGUUCUACAUAAUUCGAUUACCACAAUCAGAAUACUGAAUAUUGAAUUAAAAGCUUGAAAUUAAUUAAACUCGUCAAUAUUUUUUUUAUUAUUAUUUUGUGAGCCUGUUUGCGCCAGUAUUUCGACGUUCCUUUACAUAUAAUGAACUGUCAAUUGUUAUAUAUACUAACUCAAGUAUGGUUAUUCCAUUCUACAUUGUGUAUGAUUGGCAGAGUUUUUGAGUUUUUAGACGAUGAAGCCAAUAGCAGAUUGAUUAUGGCCACCCAUGGGAAUAAGGCGAAAGACGUACAAUCGUUGACAACAAAAAUUAGUGUGCCAAAAUGUAUCGAAGUGACAUACGUGAGGGUGGUUAUUAGUAGCGUGGAACCAUUACCCUAUGUCUCGUACGAUGAGAAAACCCAUCUUGUGAAUAUCACAUAUGAUAGGGAGCAAAACACUGACACGUUGUUCCAGAUCUUCGCAAAAGGAGGACCGGACAGGUACUGCGGAUCGAAGAAGAAGUUGAAAGGACCAGGGUACAAGGUGUCCGGAUCGAUGGUCAGGUUCAUCAACCUGAACAGCGUCAAAAUACCUGAAUCGUACAUACGUUAUCCGUAAUGUUCAUUCGAGAUUUUUGAAAUGGUCAGAAAUACAUUUUGAAAUUUA